rnacentral:rRNA from 1 species
UACGAAGGGGGCUAACGUUGCUCGGAAUGACUGGGCGUAAAGGGCGCGUAGGCGGAUGGCACAGUCAGAUGUGAAAUUCCCGGGCUUAACCUGGGGGCUGCAUUUGAUACGUGUUGUCUUGAGUUCGGAAGAGGGUCGUGGAAUUCCCAGUGUAGAGGUGAAAUUCGUAGAUAUUGGGAAGAACACCGGUGGCGAAGGCGGCUCACUGGCUCGUAACUGACGCUCAUGCACGACAGCGUGGGGAGCAAACAGG